UAUUGGACAAUGGGGGCAACCCUGAUCCAGCCAUGCCGCGUGAGUGAUGAAGGCCUUCGGGUUGUAAAGCUCUUUUGGCGGGGACGAUGAAGACCGUACCCGCAGAAUAAGCCCCGGCUAACUUCGUGCCAGCAGCCGCGGUAAGACGAAGGGGGCCUACCGUCCUUCCCCAAUUACUGGGGGUAAAGCGAGUGUAGGUGGUCAUCCAAGUUGGAUGGGAAAGCCUUGGGCUUAACCCAAGAAAUGCAUUCAGGACUGGAUGACUAGAGGACCGGAGAGGAUAAUGGAAUUCCCAGUGUAGGGGUGAAAUACGUAGAGAUUGGGAAGAACACCAGGGCGAAGGCGGCUAUCUGGACGGUUUCUACACUAAGGUCAGA
rnacentral:rRNA from 1 species